GCUGGAAACGGUUGCUAAUACUCUAUACGCCGAGAGGUAAAAGGAUUUAUCCACCUUAGGAAGAGCUCGCGUCUGAUUAGCUUGUUGGUAAGGUAAUGGCUUACCAAGGCGACGAUCAGUAGCUGGUUUGAGAGGACGACCAGCCACACUGGGACUGAGACACGGCCCAGACUCCUACGGGAGGCAGCAGUGGGGAAUUUUCCGCAAUGGGCGAAAGCCUGACGGAGCAAUACCGCGUGAGGGAUGAAAGCCUGUGGGUUGUAAACCUCUUUUCUCAAGGAAGAAGUUCUGACGGUACUUGAGGAAUAAGCAUCGGCUAACUCUGUGCCAGCAGCCGCGGUAAUACAGAGGAUGCAAGCGUUAUCCGGAAUCACUGGGCAUAAAGCGUCUGUAGGUCGCCUACCAAGUCUGCUGUUAAAGAUCAGGGCCUAACCCUGGGAAAGCAGUGGAAACUAGUAGGCUUGAGUAUGGUAGAGGUAGAGGGAAUUCCUGGUGUAGCGGUGAAAUGCGUAGAUAUUAGGAAGAACACCAAUGGCGAAAGCACUCUACUGGGCCAUAACUGACACUGAGAGACGACAGCUAGGGGAGCAAAUGGGAUUAGAUACCCCAGUAGUC
rnacentral:rRNA from 1 species